rnacentral:lncRNA from 1 species
GCGCAUACAUACAGUGGCCGUCGCCUCUCAGCCGUCGUGCUUCGCGUCUCACUCUCGAUCACACACGGGCUCACACUCACAAUUCUUUCUGCCAAGAUGACGAGGACGGCUACCCUGUCGACGCUGCUCCUCCUGCCUCUCGCAUUCCUCCUCCUCCUCCCAGUGCCGGUACCAGGUACGUACGUCGUUUCAUUCACAAAAUAAGUAGUAUCUGGAUAACUAACUGGAUCAUGCAUGCAUGCAGCUACAGAUUAAUAAGUAAAACUGUGGUGGUAUUCUUCUUCUUCUUCUUCUUCUUCUUCUUCUUCUUCUUCUUCUUCUUCUUCUUCUUCUUCUUCUUCUUCUUCUAUGCUAAAAGUUAAUUAAACUGGGAUGCAUUCAUGAUGUCGAUCUGUUUAUUCCCUUCUUCUUAUUGCUGCAGCUCCGCGGGGCACUAUCUGCACUAGCCAGAUCAUCAGGAACACCAUCUCUCCGUGUGACCGCGAGGGAUGUUUAUUCUGGGUAGCCUACGCCCAGAUAGGGUGCCCUACUGGUGCGGUCUGCGACUGGAACGGCGUGUGCAGCAGGCAUGACUGCAACUUCACCUUGUGCAAGAAUUAUGGGAACCACCCUGCAGCUGCAACCACCUUACUUCCCUAAGAAAAGAUUAUAGCAUGUCGAUCUAGCUAGCUAGUAGAAUAACCAUUAUACGUACCUGAAACAAUAUAUAAAAACACGUACAGCUAUGCAACUAUAUUACUUGUUUCGUCGCCAAAUAAUACUCGUCUGGUCUGCGUUCUCAUGCGUGCCAUCAUCGUCUUCGUCCUUCUCUACGCGCACGGAUUCAUUUGAGUUGGAGCACCACCGAGCCGUCGAUUUCGCCCGUCUUCUCCGACUACGGCCGCCGUUCAUCAGCACCGAUACGAUUCAUCGCCGAUAAAGCAUCCCCGAGCCCACUGACCUGCCUCGUGUGCUGUGAGCUCCACGCCAUUCCUCCCCUUGUACUCCUCCUUGCGCACGUCCUCUAGCCGCGUCGGUCACCAGCCCGAGCUCCGGCCGUCGCCAUGGCCGUACGUCGAGCUCCUCAGCUUCAACAAGCGCUGCACCAACGUGUUCCUGGUCUGGUGAACCGUUGAUGCCUCCCAGCCGCUCCGUUUGCUCCAACUCGCGCCCUAAUUAACGCCGACGCCCGCAACCAUCGAACCCCGGUCGCCACUUGGCAUGUCGCCACCGCCACAGGGCAUCCCCGACAGCCCCGAGGGCACCAAUGGAAGCGCCGCACCUCCAGCUCCCCAGCGCACCCACUCGCGCGUUCUCCCAUCUCCUGUGGGGCAAUUCCGGCGAGGUCCCGCUCUGCCGCCGCUGCGUUCGGUCGUCGCCGGCGCGCGCCGUCAGUUUAAACCGGGCCCUGGGUCACUGCCAGUGGGCCCAGACGGAUUAACUACUGAUUAGUGCUAACCCUAAUUGCUGCUAACAGACACUUACAUGUGGGUCCCGAUGCUAAUAAAACAAGGUUAAUACAUAUAUUAACUCUGUGUCACCAAUAGGUGGUCCCCACCUGCUAGUUUGACUGGUUAAAGAUUGACCCAGUCAAUGCUGCUGGCCUGCUGACUAGGCAGCCCUGGCCCAGUGUCAGCCUCAGUGGCUAGCCCAAUGUUAGGUGACAAAAGAAUUUUCUGUGCAUAAUUCGAAUUAAAAAUAAAUACUGUACAUAAUAAAUCAUUUAAACUUUGAAAAAUCAUAUAAACUAAACCAUAGCUUAGAUGAAAAUAGUUUAUAUAUAUAUAAUGAUUAGAAAAAUAUGACAAACCAAAAUAUGCCAUCCAUAUAUCUGCCACACCCCUCUAACAUAAUGAACAUGGAACAUUUGCACCUGGAUCAACACAAAUUGAUGUUGGAUAUUAAUAUACUACUCCCUCCGUCCCAUAAUAUAAUAUAGAAGCGUUUUUUACACUGACAAAGGAAGUAUUUUACAAUUUUCAGUAAAUAAUAAAUUAAUUUUUUGUUAUUGUUUUCUCCCCUUUUACGAUCUAAUUAUACUCACUAUUUAUAUACUACCACUGUUUCUAAAUGUAAAAUGUUUCGGAAGUUUAAAUUAAAUUGUCAAAAUGUCAUAUAUUAGGAACUGAUGGUGUGAUAAAUUGUAUGAUUUUUUUUUACUUUAGGUCAAUGAAUGCACAUUUGAUCGAGAUAAAUGUAUACUCCUACUUGCUGUAACUUGCAUAAAAAGGAACAAAUAGGAUAGUAGAUCGACUGAGAGUCACACUGAGUGUAGCGUUGUGGUAUGGCUACAGAGAGGACAACCAUGUAUCGAGGAACUUCUGUCUCCUAAAUUAACUCUAUGAUUAUGAAAUAAAACUCUUGUAUCCUUGCAAAAAGGAAACUUGCACACAAAAAUUGUAUUCCAAAGUUUCAAGCAACUGAAAAUGGUAAACAAUACCUUUAGGAUUGGCCGUUCAUCUUCCACCUCGAGAGCAUUCCCCACAAAUCUGUAAGUUUUCAUUUCCUUCCUAUAUAUUUUCUCUUCCUACUUGAUGUCUCACCUCUCCACCUGUACUCCCCAUUUCUAUCGCACUUUACAGUCCCCCCUACCCCGUACCACAUUACCUUGCUUGUUGCCGUCGCGGAGGAGAUGCAUAUCUCGUUCUCGAUCCAACGAUGGCGGCAACCGGUUCGCAGAGAAAGAAGUCCCACUAAUCUCUUCAUGCUCGUUCCAAGUUCGAAGCACCUUUUGGCGAAAGAAAAAUCCGCUUCCUGACAACGGGGAAUAGGGAUGGUUGGACAUGACAUGAUGGGACUGUUGAAAUAUAUUGUUUGCAUCUCUCUACAAGUUCGGACUUUUAAAGCAACUGGCUGAAGCAUGAAUUCAAAUAUGAUAUCCGAACCAAAAGGUCUUGAAUUCAAGACCCUACCAAUGCAGUAUUAAAAAAUAAUUUUGUGGCCUACAUCGAUCCUACGUCUAAGGACCAAAAUAGCGUAGAUGUGACAGGGAGUGAAAUAUAUUGCCCGCCUCACUGAAGCUUGAAUUCAAUAGGGACAAUAGCCCAAUGAAGCUAGUUCCUAUCGUCAAGAGAAUGUAGAGCUUAGUAAUGGCAGUACAGAGGCGAGGAAAGCGAUAACACAAUUGUUUUUUUUUCAGGGUAAAGCAAAGCUUUAUAACUUAACGAUGCUCGGGUAAAUCACCCGAUACACAAACAGCCACUUGGGCCGGUACAAUAGAGUUUCACUCAAAACAUUCAUUCGAUAAACAAAGAUGACCUAACUUGGCUAGUUCAUGCGCAACAGAUUUUGCAGUAUGGCAGGACAAACUCGGGGAAGGUAGAAAUCCAGCUUUUCCCUAGCCGGUGGCCUUUCCCUAGCUUAUCAGACGGAGGGAACCGAUGGUUGUUUCCUAACAAUACGCGAUCCUCAAGGCGAUAUUUCAACUAUCAUUUUCACUGGAAAAUGUUGUUUCAAACAGAACUAAUUUCACAAUGCAAGAGUUACAUUUCACAAACGAAUUUUAAACAGUUUUAAAUCCGGCUUGGUGUUAUCAACAUCGACAUUUUUUUUCUUCUCUAACAAUGAUAAAAUCUAAAACAACCUACAUUGCGGCACCAAAUGUUCGGCGAGCUCUUUAUGUUGGACGAUCUCUUAGCUUUAGCAGGCAAUGCAGCUAUUACAUAACUCACGUUUCCGUGUACACCAGAAAAUGAAAAUAGUCGCGUGAACAUAUAUCUGAAUGCAAGCAAAGGAUGAUAAGACAAAAGAAAAGGGAAAAAACAAAUGUACAGCCCAUGAAUAGCACUUCAAAAGAAAAAGGGAAAAAUGCAGAAGUGGAAAUAUUUUGUUACAGCAAGUUACCUUCCUUCACCACCACUCCAGAAUACAGUUUGUACAAACACCAGUGCAUCAGAAAAUACCAAAUUGGUGUCAUAAUGCAACACCCACAAAACUCUUGCCGUCCCGUAUAACAAUAUCCUACGCAAAAUGAAUGAGAAAUGGAAAAGAAGAAAGCAGCUUAAGCCACAGUGAAGCUACUAAUCAAUUUACAAUUUCCCUCACAUUUACAAAUUACAGCUACAUUUUCCCAAGUGUGUAUAUGGUGCCGAAUAGCUCAAUUGUACUCUCGCCGAUCCUGAUGGGUACGGGAAUGUUGAAGACUGUCACGCCACUGCGCGCCUGCAUAUGCAAAGAAUUUGCUAUCCUGUUCUACAUAGUAACAUUUUCGAAAUGCAGACUGGCGGAUAUCCGUGAGCCCAUUGUUACAACCCAUCUCCUGUAUAAUAUGAACACCUAGCGCCCAAAGAUAUGAGCAUGUCCGAAUUCUCCAUGGCUAGCCCUCGACGAUAUUAGCACAAACAUGUCCACAGUAGGCUAAAUGGAAGAUGGAGCCUGAGCAGUGAGCGUGUACGAUCUACUGCGACAACUCACAAUCUCCAAGCGACGAAUCAUAGUGGAAGAAGAUUCCGGAUAUACUGCCGGGAAGCACUGUUUCGUCCAAGGCCGAGUCCUAGGCCGAAUGGUGUCCUCUCAUUCUUCUUGCUGUGGUCGCAACACUGAGAGGAACCACCUUGAGUGUGAGAGUUUGAGUUGGCAUGUGAAUCAGCACAGGCAUGGUCAUCGCAAUUACCAUGAUGGGAAUGGCCCUCGCCAUUCUGUGAGACUGCACUUGUCAUCUGUAUCAUUCCUAUUUCUUCGUCAGUGCGUGAUGCAUGCUCGAGCCGCUCAACGUCCUCAUUGUACCCGUUUACCAAGAAGUCUGAGCAGUUCUUGCGCACCCCAUGGUCGAACGGGUUUCUGAAUCUGCCAGCUGGACCUCUUAGAUAAGUGUAUCUCAUGGAAUUGGCCAUCUCGUUGGUUGUGAUGUUCCUUGCUAUCUACAAGGGAGAGAAAUAAGACAUGAAGAAGAAUACAUGGUACAGAUCAAUAUGUCCCUCCUGUAGUCCAGGGAGGCUAUAACUACUGGAUGGAAAACAUGGUCCCACACAUAAACCUCACAGAUAGCUUCAUAAAUCAAAUAAGCAGACAAUGAUGUUUCGCACCACGUGGCACAUGUGGUAAGCAAUCCAAACAAUUCAAAGAAAAAAAAGACAAUGAUCUUUCGCAUCUAGCCUUGGUUUUAGCUCUGUUCAGUAAUUGCAUUCUUGACUUUGCUAUUGAAUUCCAAACAUGAUACAGUUUUAUUGACAAAUGUCUAACUAUAUUGCCUGACCAAUAAUGUUGUGUUCAUACUUGAUAGGUCAUAUACUCAUGAAUGAGCUGACAACGACAUGCCAAUCUGGCAUAUCCAGCAAUUUCCAUAGAAAAAUGAUCCAGCAAGGCACAAAUAUCUGGGAAAACUCUAGUAAAGGCGUUACCGCAGUAGCAUACUUUCCGUAAAAAAAGAUCCAGCAAGGCACAAAUAAUGUUAUGUUUAGCAUGUUUUAUACAAGUUCAUGCCUAGUUUAGUUAGCAACCAAAAAAUGUUGAAGAUUGUGCUACAAGGCACAAGCAUAUUGGUGGCUUCAUGAUUUUAGAAUCAAAUAACAGAUAACUUGGUUUUUUUACGUAAAAGCAUCAAGAUUUAUAACAUUAAAACUUUAAAUACCUGG